GAUGAACGCUGGCGGCGUGCCUAAUACAUGCAAGUCGAACGCUGGAAAUCUAGCUUGCUAGAUUGAAGGAGUGGCGAACGGGUGAGUAAUACAUAAGCAACCUACCCACGAAGACUGGGAUAAUCUCUGGAAACGGGGACUAAUACCGGAUAGGUAAUCGGAAGGCAUCUUCUGAUUAUUAAAGGUUAAAAACACUGGUGGAUGGGCUUAUGGCGCAUUAGUUAGUUGGUGAGGUAACGGCCCACCAAGACGAUGAUGCGUAGCCGGCCUGAGAGGGUGAACGGCCACAUUGGGACUGAGACACGGCCCAGACUCCUACGGGAGGCAGCAGUAGGGAAUUUUCGGCAAUGGGGGAAACCCUGACCGAGCAACGCCGCGUGAGUGAGGACGGCCUUCGGGGUGUAAAGCUCUGUUGUAAGGGAAGAACGGUAGAUAGAGAAUAUCUAAAUGACGGUACCUUACCAGAAAGCCACGGCUAACUACGUG
rnacentral:rRNA from 1 species